rnacentral:rRNA from 1 species
GAUAAGGUUCGAUUGAAUCGGGAACGGAAUAAAGAGCAGAUCUGCAAAACAAAAUACCCGAUUCUGCUGGUGCAUCUAUCCAUGUGCAGGUUGAAGUAACCGUAAAAGGUUAUGGAGGACCGAACUUAUAUCCGUUGAAAAGGGUUAGGAUGACGUGUGGAUAGCGGUGAAAUUCCAAUCGAACUCGGAGAUAGCUGGUUCUCCUCGAAAUAGCUUUAGGGCUAGCCUCGAGCUGGAGUCUAACGGAGGUAAAGCACUGAACUGACGCGGGGCCCAAAAAGGUUACCAACUCAUAUCAAACUAAGAAUGCCGUCAAGAUACCCUCGGGAGUCAGUCUGCGUGAGAUAAGUCGCGUGGACAAAAGGGAAAGAGCCCAGACCGACAGCUAAGGUCCCAAAGUACGUGUUAAGUGGAAAAGGAUGUGGGAUUUCAUAGACAACUAGGAUGUUGGCUUAGAAGCAGCCAUACAUUUAAAGAGUGCGUAAUAGCUCACUAGUCGAGAAAACCUGCGCCGAAAAUGUAACGGGGCUAAAACACGACACCGAAGCUACGGAUUCCUUACUAAGUAAGGAGUGGUAGAGGAGCAUCCUGCAAGGACGAAGCCAAAGUGAGAGCGAUGGUGGACGAAACAGGAGAGAGAAUGCCGGAAUGAGUAGCGAGAUACAUGUGAGAAACAUGUAGGCCGAAUAUCUAAGGAUUCCUGGGUAAAGCUAAUCUUCCCAGGGUUAGUCGGGGCCUAAGGCGAGGACGAGAGUCGUAGUCGAUGGAUAACAGGUUGAUAUUCCUGUACUACACAUAAUCAGAACUGUGGGGACGCAGGAGGAUAGGGAAACCGGGGAAUGGAAAGACCCGGUCAAGCGCAAAGCUGUGGGAGAUAGGCAAAUCCGUCUCCUGUAAGUGAAGCGUGAUGAGGACUGAAAAAAAGUAAGGAAGUUUCCGAAUCCACACUGCCGAGAAAAGCCGCUAUUGCGUUAUGUGUACCCGUACCGUAAACCGACACAGGUAGAUGAGGAGAAAAUCCACAGGCCGACGGGAGAAGUGUUGUUAAGGAACUCGGCAAAAUGACCCCGUAACUUCGGGAUAAGGGGAGCCUCGCAAGAGGCCGCAGAAAAGAGGCACAAGCAACUGUUUAGCAAAAACAUAGGUCUAUGCGAAACCGUAAGGUGAAGUAUAUGGGCUGACGCCUGCCCGGUGCUGGAAGGUUAAAAGGAGAGGUCAGCGCAAGCGAAGCUUUGAAUUCAAGCCCCAGUAAACGGCGGCCGUAACUAUAACGGUCCUAAGGUAGCGAAAUUCCUUGUCAGGUAAGUUCUGACCCGCACGAAAGGCGUAAUGAUUUGUGCACUGUCUCGACAACACGCCCGGUGAAAUUGAAGAACCAGUGAAGAUACUGGUUACCCGCAACAGGACGGAAAGACCCCAUGGAGCUUUACUGCAGCCUGAUACUGGGAUUCGAUGAUAUAUGUACAGGAUAGGUGGGAGGCUAAGAAGCGAGAACGCUAGUUUUCGUGGAGCCGCCGGUGGGAUACCACUCUUAUGUCAUUGGAUUUCUAACCUGCAUCCGUAAUCCGGAUGAGGGACAAUGUCAGGCGGGCAGUUUGACUGGGGCGGUCGCCUCCUAAAAGGUAACGGAGGCGCUCGAAGGUCACCUCAGAAUGAUUGGAAACCAUUCAAAGAGUGUAAAGGCAAAAGGUGGCUUGACUGCGAGAGCGACGGCUCGAGCAGGUACGAAAGUAGGACUUAGUGAUCCGGUGGUAAUAAGUGGGAAUGCCAUCGCUCAACGGAUAAAAGCUACCCUGGGGAUAACAGGCUUAUCUCCCCCAAGAGUUCACAUCGACGGGGAGGUUUGGCACCUCGAUGUCGGCUCAUCGCAUCCUGGAGCGGAAGUACGUUCCAAGGGUUGGGCUGUUCGCCCAUUAAAGCGGUACGCGAGCUGGGUUCAGAACGUCGUGAGACAGUUCGGUCCUUAUCUAUCGCAGGCGUAAGAUAUUUGAAGAGUGCUGUCCUUAGUACGAGAGGACCAGGAUGGACAUACCAAUGGUGUAUCAGUUGUCUCACCAGAGGCACGGCUGAGUAGCUAAGUAUGGAUUGGAUAAACGCUGAAAGCAUCUAAGUGUGAAGCCAACUCUAAGAUAAGAUAUCUCAUAUCGUAAGGUAGUAAGAUUCCAUAAAGACUAUGUGGUUGAUAGGUUGGAGGUGUAAGUGUAGUGAUACAUUGAGCUGACCAAUACUAAUAAAUCGAGGGCUUAACCA